rfam:Aureococcus anophagefferens unplaced genomic scaffold ATRANscaffold_19, whole genome shotgun sequence.
CGUCGUCGCACUGCUGGGGGCAGAUGAAGUGGAUGUGCGUGUCGACGCCGCCGGCCGUGACGACGAGCUUCUCGCCCGCGAUGGCCUCCGUCGUGACGCCGACGGUCAUGCCCGGCGUGACGCCGUCCAUGACGUCCGGGUUGCCCGCCUUGCCGACGCCGACGAUGCGGUUGCCCUUGAGGCCGAUGUCGCAUUUCACGACGCCGAGGACCGCGUCGACGACGAGCGCGUUCGUGAUGACCGUGUCGAGGGCGUCCGCGGCCGCGCAGCCCGUCUGCUGGCCCAUGCCCUCGCGGAG